rnacentral:rRNA from 1 species
UCGAUCUCAAAUCAGGUAGGACUACCCGCUGAACUUAAGCAUAUCAAUAAGCGGAGGAAAAGAAACUAACAAGGAUUCCCCUAGUAACUGCGAGUGAAGCGGGAAAAGCUCAAAUUUAAAAUCUGACAGUCUUUGGCUGUCCGAGUUGUAAUCUAGAGAAGUGUUAUCCGCGCUGGACC